rnacentral:rRNA from 1 species
CCUACGGGAGGCAGCAGUGGGGAAUUUUGCGCAAUGCUCGUAAGAGUGACGCAGCGACGCCGCUUGAAUGACGAAGGCCUUCGGGUCGUAACGUUCUUUCGACAGGGAAGAAAAUGCCUAUAAGUAACUGUGUCUGUAUUGACGGUACCUGUAUAAGCAGCCCCGGCUAACUCCGUGCCAGCAGCCGCGGUAAUACGGAGGGGGCGAGCGUUGUUCGGAGUGACUGGGCGUAAAGAGCACGUAGGCGGUGUUGUAAGUCAUUAGUCAAAGACUAGAGCUCAACUUUAGUAAGGCUAGUGAUACUAUAAUACUAGAGUAUCAGAGAGGAUUGCAGAAUUCCUGGUGUAGCGGUGAAAUGCGUAGAUAUCAGGAGGAAUACAGUUAGCGAAGGCGGCAAUCUGGCUGGAAACUGACGCUGAGGUGCGAAAGCGUGGGUAGCAAACAGGAUUAGAUACCCUUGUAGUC